rnacentral:rRNA from 1 species
GACGAACGCUGGCGGCGUGCCUAAUACAUGCAAGUCGAACGCUUCUUUCCUCCCGAGUGCUUGCACUCAAUUGGAAAGAGGAGUGGCGGACGGGUGAGUAACACGUGGGUAACCUACCCAUCAGAGGGGGAUAACGCUUGGAAACAGGUGCUAAUACCGCAUAACAGUUUAUGCCGCAUGGCAUAAGAGUGGAAGGCGCUUUCGGGUGUCGCUGAUGGAUGGACCCGCGGUGCAUUAGCUAGUUGGUGAGGUAACGGCUCACCAAGGCCACGAUGCAUAGCCGACCUGAGAGGGUGAUCGGCCACACUGGGACUGAGACACGGCCCAGACUCCUACGGGAGGCAGCAGUAGGGAAUCUUCGGCAAUGGACGAAAGUCUGACCGAGCAACGCCGCGUGAGUGAAGAAGGUUUUCGGAUCGUAAAACUCUGUUGUUAGAGAAGAACAAGGACGUUAGUAACUGAACGUCCCCUGACGGUAUCUAACCAGAAAGCCACGGCUAACUACGUG